ensembl:lncRNA
AACAAAACUACACCCCUAAGAGAAAAUGUCCAAAUUGGGCCCAAAGUGUCAAUAUUUUGUGUGGCCACCAUUGUUUUCCAGCACUGCCUUAAUCCUCUUGGGCAUGGAGUUCACCAGAGCUUCACAUGUUGCCAAUGGAGUCCUCUUCCACUCCUCCAUGAUGACAUCACAGAGCUGGUGGAUGUUAGAGACCUUGUGCUCCUCCACCUUCCGUUUGAGGAUGCCCCACAGAUGCUCAAUAGGGUUUAGUCCAUCACCUUCACCCUCAGCUUCUUUAGCAAGGCAGUGGUCAUCUUGGAGGUGUGUUUGGAGUCGUUAUCAUGCUGGAAUACUGCCCUGCAGCCCGGUCUCCAAAGGGAGGGUUGAUCAUGGUCUGCUUCAGUAAGUCACAGUACAUGUUGGCAUUCGUGGUUCCCUCAAUGAACUGUAGCUCCCCAGUGCCGGCAGCACUCAUGCAGCCCCAGACCUACAGUCCCACCACCAUGCUUGACUGUAGGCACACUUGUCGUUGUACUCCUCACCUGGUUGCUGCCACAUAC